GACGAACCGAGCGAACGUUGUUCGGAAUCACUGGGCUUAAAGGGCGCGUAGGCGGAUCAUCAAGUCCAGGGUGAAAUCUUUCGGCUCAACCGGAAAAGUGCCUUGGAUACUGAUGGUCUCGAGGGAGGUAGGGGCAGAUGGAACUUCCGGUGGAGCGGUGAAAUGCGUUGAUAUCGGAAGGAACUCCGGUGGCGAAAGCGAUCUGCUGGACCUCUUCUGACGCUGAGGCGCGAAAGCUAGGGGAGCAAACGGG
rnacentral:rRNA from 1 species